UCUUGAGGCGCACGGGCUCCCUGAAGUGGCGGAUGACGGCCAGGGUGUCGCGGUGGGUGAGGCCGCUCACGGGGGUGCCGUUCACCUCCAGCAGCACGUCCCCGGGGCUGGGGGGCUUGCCGGAGAGCAGCGCCGGGCCGGGCCCGCCCAGCUCGCCCAGCAGCAGGCGGCCCCCCAGGAGCUGAAUUCAGGAAAGCUAUACUACUGUAAUGAAAACUUUGAAGUCUAUUCAGAGAACUGGCUGACAAAUUUAAUUCUAAUUUAUGCCAUGCUGACACUUGCAGGGCAAAAAUGCAGCUGGAAACCUAUGGCACCUCACUGAUUGAGAGGAGUUUCCAUUAAAAGCUGCAAAGAUAUCAAUCCUCAGCUCUUCUACAUUAGCUGUACAGCUAAUCUUCACCAUAAAGAACAAAGCAUUGGAGUGGAAACAAGGAUCUGUUUAUUCUUUUGAUUUAUGUGGAUGUCAAUCUGAGAAUGUCAGACCUUUAAAAAAAAAAAAAUUUUUUUUUCUUGUUAAAAGAAAAAAAUCUGCAAACA